AUUGAACGCUGGCGGCAGGCCUAACACAUGCAAGUCGAGCGAGCGGCGGACGGGUGAGUAAUGUCUGGGAAACUGCCUGAUGGAGGGGGAUAACUACUGGAAACGGUAGCUAAUACCGCAUCCCAUCAGAUGUGCUCAGAUGGGAUUAGCUAGUAGGUGGGGUAAUGGCUCACCUGUGCGACGAUCCCUAGCUGGUCUGAGCGGGUGACCAGCCAGAGUGGAACUGAGACACGGGCCAGAAUCCUACGGGAGGCAGCAGUGGGGAAUAUUGCACAAUGGGCGCAAGCCUGAUGCAGCCAUGCCGCGUGUGUGAAGAAGGCCUUCGAGUUGUAAAGCACUUUCAGCGGGGAGGCGUUACCCGCAGAAGAAGCACCUGCGAGCUCCAUACCAGGAGCCACGGUAAUAC
rnacentral:rRNA from 1 species